rnacentral:rRNA from 1 species
UACGGAGGGUGCAAGCGUAAAUCGGAAUUACUGGGCGUAAAGCGCGCGUAGGCGGUUGGGUAAGUCAGAUGUGAAAGCACCGGGCUUAACCUGGGAACUGCAUUUGAUACUGUCCGACUCGAGUAUGGUAGAGGGGGGUGGAAUUCCCGGAGUAGCGGUGAAAUGCGUAGAUAUCGGGAGGAACACCAGUGGCGAAGGCGGCCCACUGGACCAAUACUGACGCUGAGGUGCGAAAGCGUGGGGAGCAAACAGG